UCUUGCUAAGUGCUGCCGUCGGCUGUUCCCCAACCUCCAAUGCCCCAACCUCAAGUUCUUCAACUUGCACCCACCAUCGGCUCUUUGUCAACUUGCACCCACCGCCGCCUCCGAUCGACUGGAUCCCACUGCCUCUACCCACCGUCGGCUGUUCUCCAACCUCCAUCCGAUAGUAACAAACUGUAUUAUUCCCUAACCUCCACCCACUGC
rnacentral:lncRNA from 1 species